GACGAUAUAAUUUUUUUUCCAGAUCACUCGCGAUCCUUCUUCCUCUUCCUCUUUCGUUCUUCUUCAGUUAUGGUGGCCAUUAACACUCGACUGGGCACUUCUUCUGUCGACGAAACUUCCGUAACGCUUCUCGAUUCCUCAUUUAUAUAGAGUUCUCGAGCUGCCUUAGCGGCCGUCCCUGCCGUCGCGGCGCCGCCCCCAUCUCCGCCGUCACCGCCGUCUCCGCAGACGCUGCCGUCUCCGCCGCCGCCGCCGUCCCCUAUACCACCUUCGACUCACUCUGACUUGGCAGGACCCACUUCUGUUCAGUUCGUUGUUGGUCGUCUCAUCCACUUUUGGGAUUCCCUGGAACAUCAAGAAGAAUGGAGAGUUCAUGUGGAUCACGAUCUCCUCCAUAAAUUGGUGCUUAGUGUUUGGAAUCUAUUUCCUUCCAUGCAUUAAUGAUAAGCCAUCAACUCGAGCUUUAAAUUAGAUCUUCUUGCUGCAUCAAAACACCGAUCUAAGAAGGCUCUGCAUAAUGAUUUUGUCAGACCCAAUAUCAGUCCCUUAUACCGCUUAAGAAUCGUUUGAUUGGAAGAGGCAGUAUUUAAGGUUCUUCAAAAAGAAGCAAACGUCAAUUCUUCGAACGAUUUGCUUUUGAGGUUAGUCAUUCUGAGAAUUUCAAGAGGUUCACUUGGAAAAACGUCCUAACUGCUCCGGGAGGUUGUUGGUUUGUCUAAGAGGUAUGUUAUAGACAUCGAGAAGGUGUUAAGAGUCACUUGCAAAACAGAAGGCGAGAGUGUAAGCUUGGAUCACUCUUAAAAUUUACAAAGGACUCGAGCUGCUAUUUUUCUUUCGCCUUACGACAAAGAAGGCUUAUGGGUUCUUCUACCGGAUUCAAACAACGUCUGGUACUUUCAGAAGGUUAGCUCCAUGGAUGAAUCUGAAGCUAUACACACUUCUUCAAGUGUUAUUAGUUGGACAAUGAAAAGUUUAGGAGCAAGGUUGAGGCAGAAAACAAGGAAGUUAGAGAAGGUUAAAUGCCUAUCAAGACUGGUAAUGGGGAAAUGCAUAAAACCCACAGAGAUGCUUGGAUCAGUUGCGAUGAAGAGACAUCACUGAAAGUUGAGUAUUUGAAAAGAAGAAGCGAUUUGGAGGGUCAGGUCGCAGAAGAAGGUAUGGAGGAGGAAGAAAAUGAUAAUAAAUAGAAUUAUGAAAGCAAAUAUAGUGAGGACACGUCAAACACAUUACCCAGUUAUUUGUUCUUCUUUAACUGUAGAUUUGCCUCCAAAAUUUUCACAGUGAUACACGUCACACACAUUACCCAGUUAUUUGUUUUUCUGCUGAUUUCAUAGUCGUUCUGGAUUUUGAUGGCUUUGACAUUCGUCGACUCUUCAAUUGAUGUUUUGAUUUGACACUUCUAAGCUUCACUGUAAAAUAAGUUAAUGCUUCCUGUUUCUGUUA